rnacentral:rRNA from 1 species
GUCCACGCCGUAACGAUGGAUACUAGCUGUUGGGAGCGAUCUCAGUGGCUAAGCGAAAGUGAUAAGUAUCCCACCUGGGGAGUACGUUCGCAAGAAUGAAACUCAAAGGAAUUGACGGGGCCCGCACAAGCGGUGGAGCAUGUGGUUUAAUUCGAUGAUACGCGAGGAACCUUACCAAGGCUUAAAUGUAGAUUGACCGGUUUGGAAACAGAUCUUUCGCAAGACAAUUUACAAGGUGCUGCAUGGUUGUCGU